UACGGGGGGAGCAAGCGUUGUUCGGAAUCACUGGGCGUAAAGGGUGCGUAGGCGGGUCUUUAAGUCAGGGGUGAAAUCCUGGAGCUCAACUCCAGAACUGCCUUCGAUACUGGCGACCUUGAGUCCGGGAGAGGUGAGUGGAACUCCGAGUGUAGAGGUGAAAUUCGUAGAUAUUCGGAAGAACACCAGUGGCGAAGGCGGCUCACUGGCCCGGUACUGACGCUGAGGUGCGAAAGCGUGGGGAGCAAACAGG
rnacentral:rRNA from 1 species